CAACAGGCAAAUCCGUUGUAUAAUCCUAAGACGUGAUGUGGAGCGAAAUAAAGUAGUGAAGCGUGUGAGCCAUGUGCCGAGAAAAGCUGCUAUUGUGUAAUGCGUGCCCGUACCGUAAACCGACACAGGUGGAUGAGGAGAGAAUCCUAAGGCCGACGGAAGAAGCAUUGUUAAGGAAUUCGGCAAAAUGACCCCGUAACUUCGGGAGAAGGGGUGCCUGCGAGAGCAGGCCGCAGAGAAUAGGCUCAAGCAACUGUUUAGCAAAAACACAGGUCUAUGCGAAACCGAAAGGUGAAGUAUAUGGGCUGACGCCUGCCCGGUGCAGGAAGGUUAAGAGGAGAGGUUAGCGUAAGCGAAGCUUUGAAUUUAAGCCCCAGUAAACGGCGGCCGUAACGAUAACGGUCCUAAGGUAGCGAAAUUCCUUGUCGGGUAAGUUCCGACCCGCACGAAAGGCGUAAUGAUUUGAGCACUGUCUCGACAAUGCAUCCGGUGAAAUUGAAGUACCAGUGAAGAUGCUGGUUACCCGCGCCAGGACGGAAAGACCCCAUGGAGCUUUACUCCAGUUUGAUACUGGGAUUCGGUACUGCAUGUACAGGAUAGGUGGGAGACAAAGAAGGAUGGACGCCAGUCUGUCCGGAGUCGCUGUUGGGAUACCACCCCUGUAGUACUGGGUUUCUAACCAGUUGCCAUGAACUGGCAAUGGGACAAUGUCAGGCGGGGAGUUUGACUGGGGCGGUCGCCUCCGAAAGGGUAUCGGAGGCGCUCAAAGGUUCCCUCAGAAUGGUUGGAAACCAUUUGAAGAGUGCAAAGGCAGAAGGGAGCUUGACUGCGACACCGACGGGUGGAGCAGGUACGAAAGUAGGACUUAGUGAUCCGGUGGUAUAAAGUGGGAUUGCCAUCGCUCAACGGAUAAAAGCUACCCUGGGAUAACAGGCUUAUCACUCCCAAGAGUUCACAUCGACGGAGUGGUUUGGCACCUCGAUGUCGGCUCAUCGCAUCCUGGGGCUGUAGCAGGUCCCAAGGGUUGGGCUGUUCGCCCAUUAAAGCGGUACGCGAGCUGGGUUCAGAACGUCGUGAGACAGUUCGGUCCCUAUCCGGCGCGGGCGGAGGAUAUUUGAGAGGAGCUGUCCUUAGUACGAGAGGACCGGGAUGGACGGACCACUGGUGUAUCUGUUGUCGACCAACGGCAUGGCAGAGUAGCCAAGUCUGGAAGGGAUAAACGCUGAAGGCAUCUAAGCGUGAAGCCCCCCUCAAGAUGAGAUAUCCCUCCUUCGGGAGUAAGACCCCUUGAAGACUACAAGGUAGAUAGGGCAGAGGUGGAAGCAUGGCAACAUGUGGAGCUGACUGUUACUAAUAGGUCGAGGGCC
rnacentral:rRNA from 1 species